GACCUUUUCGAUCAAUUGCAAGGAGCCACAAUCGUCUCCAAAAAUCAAUCUCAGAUUGGGAUACUACCAGCUGAGAGUCAAGGAAGAAGAUAUUCUAAAAAUUGCCUUUCGGUAUAGAUAUGGUAUGUACGAGUUUAAGGGUCUCAUUGGAUGAUUUGUAUAAUGGUUCAUUAAUAUUGGGUACGGUUCGGUAUGUGCAAGAUUCAUUAAUAUUCAAAUUUAACCAUGUUUGGAUAAUAGUCUAUUAAUGUCUUGUAGUGACAGUUAUUU
rnacentral:lncRNA from 1 species